rnacentral:rRNA from 1 species
UCCUACGGGAGGCAGCAGUGGGGGAUAUUGCACAAUGGGGGAAACCCUGAUGCAGCGACGCCGCGUGAGGGAAGACGGUUUUCGGAUUGUAAACCUCUGUCUUUAGGGACGAAAAAAUGACGGUACCUAAGGAGGAAGCCACGGCUAACUACGUGCCAGCAGCCGCGGUAAUACGUAGGUGGCAAGCGUUGUCCGGAAUUACUGGGUGUAAAGGGAGCGUAGGCGGGGAGACAAGUUGAAUGUCUAAACUAUCGGCUUAACUGAUAGUCGCGUUCAAAACUAUCACUCUUGAGUGCAGUAGAGGUAGGCGGAAUUCCUAGUGUAGCGGUGAAAUGCGUAGAUAUUAGGAGGAACACCAGUGGCGAAGGCGGCCUACUGGGCUGUAACUGACGCUGAGGCUCGAAAGCGUGGGUAGCAAACAGGAUUAGAUACCCUGGUAGUCC